rnacentral:rRNA from 1 species
GACGAACGCUGGCGGCGUGCCUAAUACAUGCAAGUAGAACGCUGAAGGAGGAGCUUGCUUCUCUGGAUGAGUUGCGAACGGGUGAGUAACGCGUAGGUAACCUGCCUGGUAGCGGGGGAUAACUAUUGGAAACGAUAGCUAAUACCGCAUAAGAGUAGAUGUUGCAUGACAUUUGCUUAAAAGGUGCAAUUGCAUCACUACCAGAUGGACCUGCGUUGUAUUAGCUAGUUGGUGAGGUAACGGCUCACCAAGGCGACGAUACAUAGCCGACCUGAGAGGGUGAUCGGCCACACUGGGACUGAGACACGGCCCAGACUCCUACGGGAGGCAGCAGUAGGGAAUCUUCGGCAAUGGACGGAAGUCUGACCGAGCAACGCCGCGUGAGUGAAGAAGGUUUUCGGAUCGUAAAGCUCUGUUGUAAGAGAAGAACGAGUGUGAGAGUGGAAAGUUCACACUGUGACGGUAUCUUACCAGAAAGGGACGGCUAACUACGUGCCAGCAGCCGCGGUAAUACGUAGGUCCCGAGCGUUGUCCGGAUUUAUUGGGCGUAAAGCGAGCGCAGGCGGUUAGAUAAGUCUGAAGUUAAAGGCUGUGGCUUAACCAUAGUACGCUUUGGAAACUGUUUAACUUGAGUGCAAGAGGGGAGAGUGGAAUUCCAUGUGUAGCGGUGAAAUGCGUAGAUAUAUGGAGGAACACCGGUGGCGAAAGCGGCUCUCUGGCUUGUAACUGACGCUGAGGCUCGAAAGCGUGGGGAGCAAACAGG